CAGUCGUAACAAGGUUUCCGUAGGUGAACCUGCGGAAGGAUCAUUACAACAAGGUUCCCUGGCCCUCGAAGCUUCGGCGGAGGGGGCUACAGCCUGACUUUAUACCCACCCUUUGCCUAUGUGUACCCCUAUUGCUUCCCUCGGCGGGUUCGCCCGCCGACAGGAACCAACUAAACCCUUUGCAUUAUACAUUUAACACUUCCGAUACAAAACUAAAUCAUUACAA
rnacentral:misc_RNA from 1 species